UACAGAGGUCUCGAGCGUUGUUCGGAUUCAUUGGGCGUAAAGGGUGCGUAGGUGGCGCUGUAAGUCGGGUGUGAAAUCCUGAGGCUUAACCUCGGAACUGCAUUCGAUACUGCGGCGCUUGAGGACUGGAGAGGAGACUGGAAUUCAUGGUGUAGCAGUGAAAUGCGUAGAGAUCAUGGAGGAAGACCAGUGGCGAAGGCGGGUCUCUGGACAGUUCCUGACACUGAGGCACGAAGGCCAGGGGAGCAAACGGG
rnacentral:rRNA from 1 species